ACGAACGCUGGCGGCGUGCUUAACACAUGCCAGUCGCACGCUGAAGCUCAGCUUGCUGGGUGGAUGAGUGGCGAACGGGUGAGUAACACGUGAGUAACCUGCCCUCUUCUUUGGGAUAACGCCCGGAAACGGGUGCUAAUACUGGAUAUUCACUGAUUCUCGCAUGGGGGUUGGUGGAAAGGUUUUUUCUGGUGGGGGAUGGGCUCGCGGCCUAUCAGCUUGUUGGUGGGGUGAUGGCCUACCAAGGCUUUGACGGGUAGCCGGCCUGAGAGGGUGACCGGUCACAUUGGGACUGAGAUACGGCCCAGACUCCUACGGGAGGCAGCAGUGGGGAAUAUUGCACAAUGGGCGAAAGCCUGAUGCAGCGACGCCGCGUGAGGGAUGGAGGCCUUCGGGUUGUAAACCUCUUUCGCUCAUGGUCAAGCCGCAGCUUUGGGUUGUGGUGAGGGUAGUGGGUAAAGAAGCGCCGGCUAACUACGUG
rnacentral:rRNA from 1 species